rnacentral:rRNA from 1 species
AACGUACGCUGGCGGCACGCCUAACACAUGCAAGUCGAACGAAGUAGCAAUACUUAGUGGCAGACGGGUGAGUAACAUGUAGGUAUCUGCCCUUUGGCCUGGAAUAACACGAGGAAACUUGUGCUAAUACCGGAUAAGUCUUUACGGAGAAAGCUUUAUGCACCAUUGGAUGAGCCUGCACUUGAUUAGUUUGUUGGUGGGGUAAUGGCCUACCAAGACUGUGAUCAAUAGCUGAUUUGAGAGGAUGAUCAGCCACAUUGGGACUGAGACACGGCCCAAACUCCUACGGGAGGCAGCAGUGGGGAAUCUUGCACAAUGGAGGAAACUCUGAUGCAGCGAUGCCGCGUGAGUGAAGAAGGCCCUUGGGUUGUAAAGCUCUUUCGUCGGGGAAGAAAAUGACUGUACCCGAAUAAGAAGGUCCGGCUAACUUCGUGCCAGCAGCCGCGGUAAUACGAAGGGACCUAACGUAGUUCGGAAUUACUGGGCUUAAAGAGUUCGUAGGUGGUUGAAAAAGUUAGUGGUGAAAUCCCAGAGCUUAACUCUGGAACUGCCAUUAAAACUUUUCAGCUAGAGUAUGAUAGAGGAAAGCAGAAUUUCUAGUGUAGAGGUGAAAUUCGUAGAUAUUAGAAAGAAUACCAAUUGCGAAGGCAGCUUUCUGGAUCAUUACUGACACUGAGGAACGAAAGCAUGGGUAGCGAAGAGGAUUAGAUACCCUCGUAGUCCAUGCCGUAUACGAUGUGUGUUAGACGUUGGAAAUUUAUUUUCAGUGUCGCAGGGAAACCGAUAAACACACCGCUUGGGGAGUACGACCGCAAGGUUAAAACUCAAAUGAAUUGACGGGGACCCGCACACGUAGUGGAGCAUGUGGUUUAAUUCGAAGAUACGCGCAGAACCUUACCAACACUUGACAUGUUCGUCGCGACUCUAAGAGAUUAGAGUUUUCGGUUCGGCCGGACGAAACACAGGUGCUGCAUGGCUGUCGUCAGCUCGUGUCGUGAGAUGUUGGGUUAAGUCCCGCAACGAGCGCAACCCUCACUUUUAGUUGCCAUCAUUAAGUUGGGCACUCUGAAAGAACUGCCAGUGAUAAGCUGGAGGAAGGUGGGGAUGACGUCAAGUCCUCAUGGCCCUUACGUGUUGGGCUACACACAUGCUACAAUGGUAUCUACAACAGGAAGCAAGACUGCGAAGUUAAGCAAAUCCCUAAAAGAUACCUCAGUUCGGAUUGCACUCUGCAACUCGAGUGCAUGAAGCUGGAAUUACUAGUAAUCGUGGAUCAGCGUGCCACGGUGAAUGCGUUCCCGGGUCU